rnacentral:tRNA from 1 species
GGGGAUAUAGCUCAGUUGGUAGAGUGCUUGCCUUGCAUGCACAAGGCCCUGGGUUCAAUCCUCAGCAUUGUCA